rnacentral:misc_RNA from 1 species
GGAGGGAUCAUUUGCGAAUGCUUGACCGGCCAUGUCGCUGGAAACAAGCUCAGCUCCCAAAACCUUGUGGGUUUCAAGUCUGGUGGUUUGGCGCCCUCUGGGGCGCCACUUUCAUGCCAAAAAUGGAAUGUUGUCUGACGUUGAACUUAAAGACUCAAAACUUUCAACACUGGAUCCCUUGGCUCUUGCACCGAUGAAGAACGCAGCAGCGAGCGAAAUGUAGUGUGAAUCGCAAGACAUUGUGAAUCAUCCAAUCUUUGAACGCACAUUGCACCUCUCGUUAUGGGGAGGUAUGCCUGUCUGAGCGUCAUUAUACCAACCUAGGCACAGCCUGUGUUGGGCUCCGCCCCCUUGCUUGGGGGGGCGCUGCCUUGAGACCAUGUCACGGUGAGCGGAUUGAGGUCCCCUGGGGCACACGCCGCUCCGAUGGCCGUCUUUCUUGAGAUUACGACCUCAGAUCAGGUAGGACCACCGCCUGAACUUAAGCAUAUCAAUAAGGCGAGGAAAAGAAACCAACAGGGAUUCCCUCAGUAGCGGCGAGCGAAGCGGGAUGAGCUCAAGUUUGAAAUCCGGGCUUGCCUCGGAGUUGUAAGCUGAAGGGUCGUUGGCCGAAGCUGCCUGGGUCCAAUUUUCUUGGAACAGAAAGUCAUUGAGGGUGAGAACCCCGUUCAUGACCCAGCGCUCUGCUUCCUAGUGCCGACGCACCCAAAGAGUCGGGUUGUUUGGGAAUGCAGCUCAAAAUGGGUGGUAAAUUUCAUCUAAAGCUAAAUAUUGGCAAGAGACCGAUAGCGAACAAGUAGAGUGAUCGAAAGGUGAAAAGCACUUUGAAAAGAGAGUGAAACAGUGCGUGAAAUUGUUGAAAGGGAAGCGCUUGGCAUCAGCCCGUGACUUCUGGCCAUCCCCCCAGCUAAUGUUGGGUGCACUGGCCUGGAGUUGGGCCAGCGUCGGCUCUGUCCGCCUUAGAAAGGCUGUGGGGACGUGGCUCCUUUUGGAGUGUUACAACCCACAGCGGCAUGAGGUGAGGUGGGGCCGAGGUCUGCGGCGUAAGCCCAGGACGCUGGCACAAUGGUUCCAAGCGACCCGUCUUGAAACACGGACCAAGGAGUCUAACAUCUAUGCGAGUGUUUGGGUGUCAAGCCCGGCCGCGCAAUGAAAGUGAAUGUGGGCGGGAGCCUUUUGGGCGCACCGUCGACCGGUCCGGAGGUUUACCGAAGGAUCCGAGUGAGAGCAUAGCUGUUGGGACCCGAAAGAUGGUGAACUAUGCCUGAAUAGGGUGAAGCCAGAGGAAACUCUGGUGGAGGCUCGAAGCGGUUCUGACGUGCAAAUCGAUCGUCGAAUUUGGGUAUAGGGGCGAAAGACUAAUCGAACCAUCUAGUAGCUGGUUCCCGC